rnacentral:rRNA from 1 species
UACGGGGGGAGCAAGCGUUGUUCGGAUUUACUGGGCGUAAAGGGCGCGUAGGCGGCCACCGCAAGUCGGUUGUGAAAUCUCUGGGCUUAACCCAGAAAGGUCAACCGAUACUGCGGGGCUAGAGUGCAGAAGGGGCAACUGGAAUUCUCGGUGUAGCGGUGAAAUGCGUAGAUAUCGAGAGGAACACCUGCGGCGAAGGCGGGU